GCCAGAUGUUCGGGCGGCUCCAGAUGUGCCUCACCGCCCGGACGGGGCUCUCCUCCCCACCCCCGGCCUGGAGCCCAGGCUCGGAGCUCCUGCAGGAGAGGCAUUCCCUUCUGGUCUCUUCCCCAGUCUCUGCUAGUCUGCUGCGCUCACUGCUACACCCCAGCUCCUGGAACAGGCUCUGUGCUAGCUGUGGGCCUGCAGGAAGGCUCAAGUUGGACUUAUUGAUGAGUGAUCGAAACGUGCAUAUCAUUGUGGUGGAUCACAGAGUCUGAACUGACCUUGCUCCUUCAGAUUACCACUUGUUCCGAUCGAUGGCACACGCACUUUCUGAGCAGCACUUCAAAACGUACGAAGAAGUGGAAAAUUGUGUCUCUGAAUGGUUUGCCUCAAAACAAGAAAAGUUCUAUCGGGACAGUACCACAAAUUACCUGAAAGAUGGGGAAAUGUGUAGCUAGCGAUGGACAUUACU